AUUUUUUCUCGGUCUUUUGCUAAGACAAGUGUAGUAUCUGUUCUUAUCAGUUUAAUAUUCGAUAUGUCCUCUAUAUGAGUGACUACAUUGUUUGGGGAUUUUUGGGUGAGAGGGGCAGAAAUUUGGAGCUGCUCUUCUCUCCACGCAUCGACUAGUGAUUGCAGUGUCGUUGGGAACGGUGCACUCUGC